rnacentral:rRNA from 1 species
AUACGGAGGAUCCGAGCGUUAUCCGGAUUUAUUGGGUUUAAAGGGUGCGCAGGCGGGUGAUUAAGUCGGCGGUGAAAUUUUGCAGCUCAACCGUGAAAGGGCCUUCGAAACUGGUUUCCUUGAGUGCAGAAGAAGUAGGCGGAAUUUGCGGUGUAGCGGUGAAAUGCAUAGAUAUCACGAGGAACUCCGAUUGCGCAGGCAGCUUGCUAAACUACGACAGACGCUCAGGCACGAAGGCGGGGGGAUCAAACAGGAAUAGAUACCCUGGUAGUCCACGCAGUAAACGAUGAUUACUAGCUGUUUGCGAUACAAUGUAAGCGGCUGAGCGAAAGCGUUAAGUAAUCCGCCUGGGGAGUACGUUCGCAAGAAUGAAACUCAAAUGAAUUGACGGGG